GGAGUACUCCCUCCGUCCAAAAUUACUUGUCCUAAAAAUGAAUAAAAUAGAUGUAUCUAUAACUAAAAUAAGUCUAGAUACAUUCAUUUGUAGGACAAGUAUUUCCGGAUGGAGGGAGUAGAAG
rnacentral:pre_miRNA from 1 species